rnacentral:lncRNA from 1 species
GGUAAUCUAAUUUACUGCCCAGAAUUGAGAAAUCUCACAUCUCCCAAAGUGGUGGGAAUUUAACAUUCCAAGUUGGUACAGAUAUAUGUGAGGCUAAAAUACCCUCAUUUUCAUGUAAUCUCAGCCUGGGUGUAAGUAUAUUUCAAAUGGGCUUAACAUUGUUUCCGAUAAAAAAAAGUGUCAAGGAUCAAAACUGUAGCUUGUUGGUUGAAUGAAAUACCCAAAAGGCCAUGCCAAAAUUACCAAACCACUUCAAAAUUUUAGGCGUAACUUCAAAUUCUACUUCACUUUCGAAGUUAAUUAUUCGUAAAGUCACAAUGUUACAAAGAAGAUAACUAACAUUUACUUUAUAGUUAAUAAACUUGAUAAAAUAGCAAUUAAGAAAUAUAGCUCACAGUUCCCUUAAUAAUGUUAUAUUUCAUUAAUAUGGAAAUUACAAAGUUCUGCAUAUUAACAAAAACAAAAUAAGAACACUAUUGUUUUCCUUUUAUCUAUAUUAAGAAAAUUCUGAAAAAUCCAAAAAUAUCUAAAAGCAAUUUUUUGAGUAUUAUAAAGCUAGCAGUGUGCCAUAAAAGAUACAGAGCAAAGAGGCAAAUGGCAAUUGACAAAAUUGCAUUUCAAGAUUUAUGAACUAAAAGUGCAACUAGUUACCAUUAUAUGAUCAAACACACAACUGUUAAAAAAUACAUAGUGAACAACAAACUGCUAUUCUAGUGGUGCAGAACACAAGCAAACCUUAGGUAAGUAUUCUGUAACAAUUAUCAUUGGACUGCUUUGAGUCACAGCACCCAGAAAUUGGACAACAUUUGGAUGUCGUAUCUUCUGAAGCAAUGCGAGCUCAUCUCUGAAUGCCUUUCUGAAAUUCCAACAAGACAUCAAAACUCCAAAAACAAAUGAAAUGAAGUCACAAAUUAGAUUUGAUACAAAGAAAUUGGAGAUAGAGGACCAACACUUAAACAUACACACAUACACAAAAAUCACAAAUAAUGUUAAACAAACCCACACUUUUUCCUCAUCAGUAAAAACUUCCUCUCCCAGUGUUUUAACAGCAACUUUAAUGCCUCGCCAAGAAGCUACACGAAAUGUUCCCUGUGUUAACAUUCAACAAUUAAUAUUUAGUGAUAUAGCAUUCUUGUUCAUGAUCAAUACAGUAUCCUAUACAAAAGGAUUUUACCAAAGUGCACUGUAUACAUAAAGAUGGGGAAGUUUGUGUACAACUUCAAGACAGCAUUAUAACAACUUUAAGUCUCUCAAAUAACUCACUUAUACAAGAAGAAUUAAACUCAAUUUUGAUUAAAACUAUGGAAGUUCUUAUUAGAAUUGAAAAGGAUACAUGUCUUAAUGCAUUAGAUGAAGAAUAUUUUAGUUAAACAGAAAAGGCACCAUAGGUUUCUGAAGAAUGAUAUAACCUAACACCUAACUCUAGCACACAAGCAUAUGUACUUCUCGUCACAAGUUCAAUGAUAAUGUAAACCAAGGUAGAGAAAGUAAUAUCAGAAUGCAUCAAAAGCAUAAACUACAGCAAUUGACAGACAAAACAACAAGGUUCAUAGGUUACCUUUGUGAUAUUGACACUGUUAGAAAAGUCGAGUUCACUAGGAUCAAUCUCAUACUCUGGCACUUCCCGAGAAUUUUGAACAUGCAUUGGGGCUAUCUAAAAUCAAAGAGACUAGAGCCUUUUAAACAUGAAGCUACACUUGAUAAUUUAAAAGGAAACUAGACAAAUUUAAGAGAAUAUCAAUAGCUGCAGGAACAAGGUCGAUUAAAUACCGGAGGCUUUGCACCAUGCUUCUCCAAAAGCUUGAUCACAUCUUGGUUCUUAUAGUAAACCGCAUCUGCAAGUGGCUGUUUAGACAAAAUCAUCCAUUCAAUAGUUCUAUUUAACAAAGGACAACAUCACCCAAGUAGUUCAUAUUUCAACGAUUGUCCCCAAAGAAAGAAAACCAAUAAUUUCGGUUAGCUUUUGAUUAUUGCUUUUACUACUUUGCUUUUGGAUGCCAAAAAGAAAAGAAAAUAAUGUGUAUGUGUGACGGAAAUUUUUUUUAAAGAAAGUAUAAAAUGCAUCAUUUCACUGUGUACAGAACAAUAAUUCUACUAGAACUAGAAGUAGUUUUCCACUCCAGACAUUUCUUUCUUUUCAUUAAUAGUAAUUCUACUUCCUAUUGGAUAUUAUUUAUCGAAAUCAUUUUGCAACUAGCAAAAUACAUAAAGAGACUGAAUUUAUAAAAAGAAAAAGAAAUAGAGAGAGAGAGUUACAGUGCUGCCCCAGCGAUCUUUAGAAUCGACUUCGGCGCCGCGAUCAAGGAGCAACCGGACGACAUCAGUAAGGCCUUGGCAGGCGGCGACAUGGAGGGCGGUCCGACCGUCAAUAUCUUUGAAGUUAACAUUGGUGCCAGAGUCCAAGAGCUCCUUAAUCCCUUCCAGAUCCCCCUCGUUAGCCAUGUACAUUAGCCUCACCCUCGGGUCUAUCGCCGCCUCGACGGCUCCACGAGACGAACCUUCCCGGUCGGGCGCCAGCGACGAUUGCUUGCCCAGUGUGAAUCGAGCUGGCGACUUGCAUCCGGUGGUGGAGUCCAUUGAGUGCAAUAGAAGUUUAGUUGUUCCUUUCUGGUGGUUAUUUGGUUACUCGAUAGGGGUGUGCAUUUAACUAAGCCAGAAUUGAUAUUUUAAUUAAUUAAUUAAUUUGUUUUAUUUUACAAAUAUUAUUUACUAACUCGUAAAAAUACAAAAGCUUGAUAUUUUAGAAAAGUUUUGUGGUUAAAAUUAUAAAGGUAGAAAACAUGAGUUUAAAUUUUGAAAUUUUAUUUUUUUAUAAAAAUAUCCUCUAUAAUUUAAUUAAAGAUUUUAUAAGUAUAAAUAAGUUAUACAAGAGUUUUUCAUAUUUUAAAAUAAUUAUAUUUUUACGGAAAUUAAGUUAAAAUAUACCUAAAAAUUAAAAAUGGUUUUAUGCAAUAAUUUAUUUCCAUUUUAGAGUGUUUAUUGUCUCAGGUGUAGUUUAGGUUCGAAAAAAAUUAUAAAUGUGCCAAAUAUUAACUAAAAUUUAUUCUAUUUUAUUUAAAAAAAUUUAAUUUUUUAAUAUAUAGUAAAAUUACUAUAUAUUUUUAACCCUUUCAUCAUAAAUAAAAAAACUAUUACUAAAAUCAAAUUUAAAUAAUAUUACAUUGUUGGGAAAAUCUUAUUUAUUAAUGAUUAUUUACUAUAAUUAUAAAAUAUUCUUAUUUAUCAAUCAUGUUUUGUAACUCUUUCGAUUUCUUUUGCAAAAAAAAUUAUAAAUAUUUUAAAGGAGAAAUGUGUAGGAUAAUUUGCAAUGGAAGAAUAUGAAUGUGGAUAAGAAAUAAAGCAGGUAGUUGCUUUCAAAGACAAUGACGUUGGGAGAUGCUAACACAGCACUACCGCCGAUGACGUGGGAUUGGAUUCACCGUUUAUUUUGGUUGUUGGGCUUCACUUAAAUUCUUCACUUUUCUGCCUACAAAAGUUAUCGUUAGUUACAGUGGUAAAUUUGUCUGAAUCUUAUAAUUAAAUGAUACAAUAUAUUGUAAUUUUAAGACCCAAAAAAAUAUUAUUGUUGGGACAUAUAAUCACGAAUUCUAAAAAGAUUAGUUUUUAUGGAUAUCUUCUCUCGAUAAGUAUAAAAUAUUAUUUAAGUUCAACUCACUUAUCAAAUUAUAACAUCAUUUCUAUCUUACUUCCAGAACUCUAAAUCUUAACUGAUGCAAGGAAUAUCAAAUUUCAACAUAUAUAAAGUUCGAUUUUCUUGUGACUUAGUAACAAAAGAAAAAUUAGAACAGUUUACUUACACAAAUAUGUAUUGAAAAUUAGUUCCUCAAUGAACAAGUUAAGUGCUUUCUCCCAAAUACAUUAAACCUAAGCAAACCAUUUUGAAUAAUUCUUCAAUAAAGAGUAUAUUGAAAGAGGUCUGCUCGACAUCAAACUCUUUAAAGAUCAAAUCUCUUGUUUAUGGGAACUUUGAUUACAUUGAAACUCACUUGGCUAAUAAAAGUUCUCAAAGAUAAGUAUUUAAAAGCUCAAAACAAUUUUGCUCAAAAUAUGUCAACCAAAUAAUACAAGUUACUAUAGCCAGCCAAAUGUUCCUUAAGUUGCAAUUAACUUAGUAUUUAACCCUUGUAAUUACUAACCAUAAUAAUCUCUCAAUUUAAAAUUUUUGAAUAAAAAAACAUAGUGCAAGAUAAUUCAACCCAUAUCAUGUCAAUACUCCCCCUCCCCGUUAAUCCAUCCAAUCAACUAUGAUUUAAAAUAAUGAAAUUAACUAUUAAUGCAAAAUAACAAAAGCAUAAACAAUCAAUAUGCAUAGUAAUCUAAUAUCAUAGCAGAUAUACAACAAGCACAAUUCAUCAAGUACAUGUCCCAAAAUAGAAUCCAAAAAAAAAAAAAAAAACAGAACUUCAACAGAACAUAAACAACAACCAUUAAAGAGAGUAUCCAACAAAACUCACUUCCCCGCCUUUUGUUGACAAAUGCAAAGGUACUAGAUGCCAUAAGCAAGUAAAUCGGACAUUCCGCAUCAUCAAGGGUGAAAUUAGGUGAGUCCGACCCCCUGAAAUAAAAAAUUUCUAUUUAGCGCUUUUGAAAUUUUUAAAAUUUUAAAAUAGUAAAAAUUAAAUUACACUUUAACCUAUCUAAAAAUAAAAAAAAAUUAUUUAAUAUUUUAAAAAUUAUAAAGAUAAAAGCUAUUAAAAUUAUAAAAGAUAAAAGCUAUUAAAAUUUUAUUUUAAUUUUAAAAAUUAAAUUUCUGACUUCCCUCUUACGUGUCAUAUAAAUUGGAGAAGCUUUAAUUGUUGCUCAUGAUACUAGGUAUUCUUUUCGAGACAUAUAACUUCUUCAUCCAAAUGCUAAGUCUAACCUAUGCAACACAUAGAACUCUGGAAAAUGUUAAACUAGUUUCAACUAGGGCAAAAACUAGUGUAGGCUCAUCAUCUUCAUUAGUAUCAUUAGCCGAAGCAUCCACUUUAGUGCCAUUUGUAGCAUGCUUUCCCUUUUUUUCGUUUUGAGGAAUUUUCAACUCCUACUGAACUUCAUCCUUCUCCACUAUGUCUAGCUUUUACUUCAAGAGAAUUUAGAAGAUGAAGGAUGUAAAAGGCAAAGCAAGCCUUGUGUUCUUAGUCUAUGCAUACUUGACUAUUUCGUUAAAAACCAAUUGACCAAAAUCAAAAGGAAUGAACGAUACUACCUUGUACAGUAAGACAAUUAUGCGUUUAAUCACAACAUUCUUUGUACUGAAACUCUAAUUAAUCUAAACAAGAGUAGUUUUAAAUUAAACUUUUUUGUUGACUAAGAAACAUAAAACUCCUAAAUAACUUAAAAUAUUUAAAAAUAUAUCCAAAAUUUAGAAUAAAUAAAUAAUAAAAUAAUAAUACCUAAUGAAUACAAUAUUGGGCUCAUAUAUAAUAAAAUUAAGCCUAAAAAUCAAAUCCAAUAUGAUUUAAACUCGAAUUAAAAGUAUGAAACUCGUAAUUUCCAUAAUAAAUCGAUCCAAAAAUUCUACUCGCUUAGUCUUCACUAAAACAGUUAUAGCUUGAUCUCCCGAACUUGAAAUUGAGUGAUUCAAAGUGCGUUUAGAAGCUAAGAGAUAGAUCUUCGAACACUAUGAAGACAUCUCAACCCAGAAAUUUCUGGAUCCCAUCCAAAAAAUAAUUGACACAUUCAGUGAAUAGAAUUUAAUAAAUUUCACAACAUCUGUAUAUGUAUCAAUAAACUUGAACUGAUCGAAUGAAUAAAAAAAUAGGGCCCACCAUGAAUAUCCUUCAUGUUUGUGAAUAUCCUCUACGAGUUUGGCGAGACAGAGUAUUUAUUCUAUCACGUCAUGGUAGUGGACAAGAAGGCCUCUCUUAUAAAUGCCCUUCCAUUGAUGGAGAAGGGAUUGAUUUUUCAGCCCUGAAGUUACUUUACCCAAAUACUUUUUCUAUCUCUCAACAAUUAACUUGUCCUCUUAUUUCCUUUUGGCUCUCUGUAUCUUUAGUGAACUGACUUCCAUAGAAUCACUACUUACUUCACUCUAUCUCCUCCCUUGUCAAGCCUUGUAUCAAAAAAAAAUAUACAAAAAUUCAUCAAUGAAUGUAAUUAACUCUUAUUAUAUUUUUUUAUAUAUUGUUAAUAAUUUCUUCCCCUCUUUUAAUCAAUGAAUGUAAUUAACUCUUAUUAUAUUUGAAACAUAUAAAUUAUUAAUGUGUUUUUUAAAAUUUUAUUUUAAACUUAACAAUUUAAUAUUCAUUAAUUUUAAUAUUAUAACAUUAAAAGUUAAUUUAAUUAAGUAAAAUAUUAAAGCCAAAAAAUAAUUUAUUUAAAAUCACCUUUAUAUUUAACAUACACAAAAAUAUAAAGAAAAAAGGCAUAGAAUAAAUUAAAAAAACCAUUAAAAGGAGAGACUCUAAUAUGAACAUGACUAUUUUUUUUUUGUAACCUUAUAUUGUUAUAGUGUAUAUAUAUGAUUUGUAUAUAUGACAUUGAUUGAUCAAAUGUUCGCAUGGCAUUUCUGCCAUGUGUCACAAUUUAUUUAAUUGUUGAAAUUUUAUUUCAUUAUAAAUUAAGAAAUUUAGCAUUUUAGGGUGAUAUGUGUAUCAUAUGUCAUAUUUCGGCUAUCAUAUUAGAACAAAAAAAAAUAUAAAGUUUGGAUAUCAAAUAUUAUAUUAACUCAAAUAAAAAUUUAUCAUACUUUUAGGUGUAAUUCAUGAUUUAGGGUUUAAAUUAUAUAUAUUUAUUUUGGUACUAAAUUAUUUUCAUACUUUAACAUUUUAGGGUGAUAUGUGUAUUAUAUGUUAUGUUCGGGUAUCAUAUUAGAACAAAAAAAAUAAAUUACAAAAAAAAUAAAGUUUAAAUAUCAAAUAUUAUAUUAACCCAAAUAAAUAAAGUUUAAAUAUCAAAUAUUAUAUUAACCCAAAUAAAAAUUUAUCAUACUUUUAGGCAUAAUUCAUGAUUUAGUCUUUAAAUUAUAUAUAUUUAUUUUGGUACUAAAUUUUUUUUCAUACUUUAAGAAGUUUUUAGCCACAACGUGACUACAUUUAUUAAAUAUCGAUAAAUUUUGAAGAAAAUAAAUAAAAUAAAAUACCAAAAUAAAGCAAAAGAAAUUAGAUUCUAAAAUAAAAAAAAAUAUAAUUAAGGAUGUAAUCAUGAAUAAAGCAUAUUUUUUAAUCAGUGGUUUUCGGACAAAAGGCCUAACUAUUUAUUCCCAAUCCCGUUUUCCUCUUUAUCCUUUUAACAGAGAUAUCAAAAUCAAAUUACAAUAAAACUCGAUAUACGCACAGCGAAAUUCAUUCUUCGAUCUUCGAACGCCGGCGGCGAAACACCGCUUUGUUUACCGGUGACGUCGUUUUCUUCAGGUUCUCUUUCUUCCUCGAUUUCUAAUUUCUCCUUUAAUUUCAUUCGAUCCCUCUUUGGAUCUCUAUGUCGUUUUUACGUAAUUAAUGAUUUGAUUUGGGUUGUUAUUUAAGUGUUUGAUUAGGAAAUUAAGUGGAUCAUUUCGUUUUUGGUUUAGAAAAUUCUCGAAUCUGGUUGCAGUUUCAUUACCAAGGCUCGCGUUUUCGUAAUCAAAUUAAAUUCAAAGCAUAUUUAAAGCAAGAAGAUUUGAUCAUUCAAGUUAAAAAAAUAUGUAAUUUUGAAAGAAUUAGCUUAAUUGAAGCCUGACCGGAACUGAAUUUCAUCAGUUCAACUCCUCACUUGAGAGCUUUCUCUGUCUGUACGCUUCCAGUCGCCAUUGCGCCCAGCAUAAAUCUCAUUGUGCGGGCAUAACCCAAAAGAAACAUUAUAGGGCAAAUGAUUCUAUCUUUUAGUUUACUUCUUUGAGAUUUGGGAUCCUUUGGGUGCUACUGUCUGAUCAUGAAUCUGAAAUACUUUUGAGUAGUUUGGAUCAUGAAUCACUUGGCUUUCUGGUUGUACUUACCAUUUGGAUUAGCCUCGUUUCCUUUCUUCUCCUGAUUUGCUUCUGAUUUUCAAUGUGAUGCUGAAUUGUCAAUGGAAUUUUUGCUGAGCGGGUUAUCAUAUAGACAGGCAUAUAUCUUUUAAUUACUUCCCCAAACUAUCAUGUAUGUAUUGGAAAAAAAAUUAUAAAAUGACAUUUAAAUACUUUAAAUUUAGGAAAAUAAACAGAAAAAGAACAGACAGUAUGUGACCGAAAUGUGAAAGGGUUAUUUUCCAGCUAAAUUAGCUAUUGUUGGUGAACUGUUUACUGCUAUGUAAGAAACUACUGAAAUAACAUAAGGAUAAAUUAACUAUCCUGGAUAUGAAUGUUGUUCUAAAUGUGCCUUUUUGGCUCCUUUUUAUAUAGGAUUCCCUAAAAUUUUUGUCUAAUGGGCAAACUUGUUUGAUCUUAUUACAGUGUGAACUUGCCAUCUCAUGUUUAUUUUCAUGGAAAAAAAAUUGCUACUCUUGCUGACAAGAUGCAUGCAUUCGACAACUAAUUCAUAGAAUCUGAAUUAUUAUUUUGUGGUCCAUGGUUCUCUGCUGUCCUUGGAUCUUAUUGCUUCUACAAUUUAAUUGCUCCGAUUAAACUGUUAACUAAAGUUAAAGGCUUGAUGAAUUAAGCUAAAGUUGAGGAUGUGCCUUUAAGAUUGAAAACUUAUUUCCUUCUGUUUGGAGGUAGGCUAAUCAAUAUUUCUUUCUGUUUCUUGUAUAUAUUAAUUAAUCCUACCUCUAUUUUCUCUUAAUUCAGAUAUCUGAAAGAUGUCCGGUCAAUCCCAGCGCUUGAAUGUGGUUCCAACUGUUACAAUGCUUGGAAUCAUGAAAGCUAGGCUUGUGGGUGCUACAAGAGGUCAUGCACUUCUCAAGAAAAAGAGUGAUGCCCUUACUGUACAAUUUCGUCAGAUUCUUAAGAAGAUAGUAUCUACAAAAGAAUCAAUGGGAGAGAUUAUGAAAACCUCUUCAUUUUCCCUAACUGAGGCCAAGUAUGUUGCUGGUGAGAACAUCAAGCAUGUUGUCCUUGAGAAUGUUCAAAAUGCUUCUCUUAAAGUUCGAUCCCGACAAGAGAAUGUUGCUGGAGUGAAACUUCCCAAGUUUGAGUAUUUCACUGAAGGUGAGACCAAGAAUGAUCUGACUGGUUUGGCCAGAGGUGGGCAACAGGUCCAACAGUGUCGUGCUGCUUAUGUGAAAGCUAUUGAGGUUCUAGUUGAGCUUGCUUCUCUUCAGACAUCAUUCUUGACACUUGACGAGGCAAUCAAGACUACAAAUCGCAGGGUUAAUGCUUUGGAGAAUGUUGUGAAGCCAAGGUUGGAGAAUACCAUAAGUUACAUCAAGGGAGAGUUGGAUGAGCUUGAAAGGGAGGAUUUCUUCAGGUUAAAGAAGAUACAAGGUUAUAAGAAGAGGGAGAUAGAGAGACAGCUUGCAGAGGCCAAGCUGUUUGCUGAGGAACAGGUUGCAGAGAAGGUUUCCUUGAGAAAAGGGGUCUCUAUAAAUUCAGCUCACAAUAUGCUAUCUGCAGCCAGG